UUCAAAAUUUCUAAAAUAAUGAGAAAGCGCCUACGAACAUGUUUCUUUGUUAUUCGUUCUUCUUCUCAAACGUGAAAACCCUAAAUCCCAAAUCUAUACUCGUUCUUCUUCCUCUCAAAUUGAAAACCCUAAAAUUCCAAAUCGAUUCUCGCUCUUCUUCUUCUCAAACUGAAAACAAUAAAAUCCAAAAUCGACUCUCGUUCUUCUUCUACCAUUCCCAGUCGUCAUUCCUCGUUCUACUUCUAGGGUGUUGAUAUCAUUCGUCGCGCCGUUCUUCUUUGUUCAAACAAAGAAAUAGAAACUGAAACUGAAAUCAAGCAACUUGUACUGAUUUUAUAGCCAUUAAGGAAUAUCUUUGCUAGGGGUUACUUGUGAAGAGUGAAGUUCAAUUCGUUUCCAAGAAUCUUACAGUGUGUGUUUCCAGAAGUUGCUGACUUUCUCUACAGCGUUAUAAGUUUUUUCGAGCACAAAGAGGAAGUCAAGUACCAAAGAGUAAAGCCAACAACAUUACAUGAAUUCGAAUGGAGUGUCCUGGGCAGCGUAAUGAAGUAGAUUGCGGUUUUUACAUGUUGCAGUAUGAAAGAAAUUCUUCUUUCGAAUCAAAUAGAGAUUCCGUCCAAGUACUUUGAUGACUUCAAGUGUGCUACUUACUCAAAAUCCAAGUUGGAUGAACUUAAGGAGGAAUGAUGUCAAUUCAUGAUUGAGUUCAAAGUUGUAUAGGAUAUUGAAGGGUAAAAAGGUUAGCUGGCAAGAUGAAAAAGUAGAUAUUUAGCAUCCUUUUGACUUGUGUAAAAAAUAACAAUGUUUUGGAUUAUGCAAUUGUUUUCAUUGAAUUCGAUGAAAUUUUGUUGUUGUUUAUUAAUAUAUUAUUAGCAUAUAAAAAAUACAAAGUUUAUUCGUAUAUUUAUAUGUGAAAUUUGCAAUAGUAUAUACAGGUGCAAAAUGUGGUGAAAACCUGGGGCAAGCCUUUUUUAAAUAGAUGCAUCUAAAAAUUUCGUGGACAUUAGACAUCGCUUUAAAAGAGAAGCGUUGCCUAAAAGCUCUUUAAAAACUUUGUAUCAGAAAAGCGCU